AAACUUCAUAGCUAAAAGCCAGAGACAGCAGGAGCCAUAGAGCUUAAUACCCUGCCGAGGUUUAUUGGAAAAUGCGAUCGCAACUUGAGUAUAUCUAAGUUGCUUGGCAUCAAGAAUAAAUUGUCACUCGGCUGGGUUAGCCGAGUUUUUGUUUUUCUACU
rfam:Chroococcales cyanobacterium CENA595 contig_37, whole genome shotgun sequence.